UACUCAUUGACCAAAUUGUGUGCAGUACAAUAUUCAGAGUGGUAGCAGUCACUUUAUUCUAAAGUAACUGUGGCAUUUCUGAAUAGAGUAAUGUUCACCAAAUUCAGCAUUUGUGGU
rnacentral:pre_miRNA from 14 species